GACGAACGCUGGCGGCGUGCUUAACACAUGCAAGUCGAACGAAGUGGCGAACGGGUGAGUAACGCGUAAUCAACCUGCCCUUCAGAGGGGGACAACAGUUGGAAACGACUGCUAAUACCGCAUACUGAAGGAGGGGAUUGCGUCUGGUUAGCUAGUUGGAGGGGGAACGGCCCACCAAGGCGAUGAUCAGUAGCCGGUCGGGGAGGAUGAACGGCCACAUUGGGACUGGGACACGGCCCCGACUCCUACGGGAGGCAGCAGUGGGGAAUUUUUCGAAAUGGAGGAAAGUCUGACGGAGCAACGCCGCGGGAUGGAUGACGGCCUUCGGGUUGUAAAGCUCUGUUAAGCGGGACGCGGUACCGGAAUAGAAAGCCACGGCUAACUACGUGCCAGCAGCCGCGGUAAUAC
rnacentral:rRNA from 1 species